rnacentral:rRNA from 1 species
GAAGGGAAACCCCCGCUUUGAAAGGAAUGGAAAGGCCCUUUCGGGGUUUGUAAAACCUUCUUUCCAGCCGGGGAAGAAAGCCCCCAAGGGCCCGGUACCUGCCAGAAGAAGGCGCCGGCCUAAAUUACGUUCCCAGCCGCCCCCCGGUAAUAAGUAAGGGGCCCAAGCGUGUUCCGGAAAUAAUUGGGGGUAAAGAAAUUCGUAGGGCCGUUCUGUGCGUUUUGUUGUGAAAAGCCCCGGGGCUUUAACCCCGGGGUGGGCAGUGGUUACGGCCAGACUAGAGUGCAGUUAGGGGAGACGGAAAUUCCUGGUGUAGCGGUGGAAAUGCCCAGAUUUUCAGGAGGAACACCGAUGCCCGAAGGCAGGUUUCUGGGCCUGUUACUGAACGCUGAAGGGCGAAAAGCAAUGGGGAGGCGAACAGGAUUUAGAUUACCCUGGUAGUUCAUGCCCGUAAAACGUUGGGGCAGUAGGGUGUGGGGGACAUUCCACGUCUUCCCGUGCCGUAGCUAACGCAUUAAAGUGCCCCCGCCUGGGGAGUACGGCCGCAAGGGCUAAAAACUCAAAGGAAUUGACGGGGGCCCCGCACAAGCGGCGGAGCAUGCGGAUUAAUUCGAUGCAACGCGAAGAACCUUACCAAGGCUUGACAUAUACCGGAUCGCUCCAGAGAUGGUUGUUUCCCCUUUGGGGUCGGUAUACAGGUGGUGCAUGGUUGUCGUCAGUUAGUGUCGUGAGAUGUUGGGUUAAGUCCGGCAACGAGCGCAACCCUCGUUCCAUGUUGCCAGCACGUGAUGGUGGGGACUCAUGGGAGACUGCCGGGGUCAACUCGGAGGAAGGUGGGGAUGACGUCAAAUCAUCAUGCCCCUUAUGUCUUGGGCUUCACGCAUGUUACAAUGGCCGGUACAAAGGGUUGCGAUACCGUGAGGUGGAGCUAAUCCCAAAAAGCCGGUUUCAGUUCGGAUUGAGGUCUGCAACUCGACCUCAGGAAGUGGGAGUCGCUAGUAAUCGCAGAUCAGCAACGCUGCGGUGAAUACGUUCCCGGGCCUUGUACACACCGCCCGUCAAGUCACGAAAGUCGGUAACACCCGAAGCCGGUGGCCCAACCCUUGUGGAGGGAGCCGUCGAAGGUGGACUGGCCGAUUGGGACCUG